rnacentral:rRNA from 1 species
CUUUUCUUGUUAGUUUUUGAAGUAUGGCCUGCCCGCUGACUUUGGUGUUGAAGGGCCGCGGUAUUUUGACCGUGCAAAGGUAGCAUAGUCAUUAGUUCUUUAAUUGUGAUCUGGUAUGAAUGGCUUGACGAGGCAUGGGCUGUCUUAAUUUUGAAUUGUUUAUUGAAUUUGGUUUUUGAGUUAAAAUUCUUAGAUGUUUUUAUGGGACGAGAAGACCCUAUAGAGUUUAACAUUUGCUAUGGUCCUCUUUCUGUUUGUGAGGGUUCACUGGGCCAUUUAAUAUGUUUUGUUGGGGUGAUGGGAGGGAUUAAUUUAACCCCUCCUUUUGUUAUUAUAUUUAUUUAUAUUUACUUGAUCCAUUUAUUUUGAUUGUAAGAUUAAAUUACC